rnacentral:rRNA from 1 species
AUUGAACGCUGGCGGCAUGCUUUACACAUGCAAGUCGAACGGUAACAGGCCUUCGGGCGCUGACGAGUGGCGAACGGGUGAGUAAUGCAUCGGAACGUGCCCAGUCGUGGGGGAUAACGCAGCGAAAGCUGUGCUAAUACCGCAUACGAUCUGUGGAUGAAAGCGGGGGACCUUCGGGCCUCGCGCGAUUGGAGCGGCCGAUGUCAGAUUAGGUAGUUGGUGGGGUAAAGGCUCACCAAGCCAACGAUCUGUAGCUGGUCUGGUAGGGCGACCAGCCACACUGGGACUGAGACACGGGCCAGACUCCUACGGGAGGCAGCAGGGGGGAAUUUUGGACAAUGGGCGCAAGCCUGAUCCAGCAAUGCCGCGUGCAGGAAGAAGGCCUUCGGGUUGUAAACUGCCUUUGUACGGAACGAAACGGUCCUGGUUAAUACCUGGGGCUAAUGACGGUACCGUAAGAAUAAGCACCGGCUAACUACGUGCCAGCAGCCGCCGCCGUAA